rnacentral:rRNA from 1 species
CCUACGGGAGGCAGCAGUCGAGAAUCAUUCACAAUGGGGGAAACCCUGAUGGGGCGACGCCGCGUGGGGGAAUGAAGGUCUGCGGAUUGUAAACCCCUGUCAUGUGGGAGCAAAUUAAAAAGAUAGUACCACAAGAGGAAGAGACGGCUAACGCUGUGCCAGCAGCCGCGGAAAUCCAGAGGUCACAAGCGUUGUUCGGAACCACUGGGCGUAACGCGUGCGUAGGCUGUUUCGUAAGGCGUGUGUGAAAGGCGCGGGCUCAACCCGCGGACGGCACAUGAUACUGCGAGACUAGAGUACUGGAGGGGGAACCGGAAUUCUCGGUGUAGCCGU